GAGGGUUGUGGGAUUGUUCGAUGGCCUUGGAAUCACUAUGUCGGUUUAGUCGGUGACGGGUUGAGGUGUUCGUCCCCCCUUGGACACCUAGAUGGCGAGAUGAGAACCCGUUAUCGAACCAGAGAUGACCCGAUCGAUGUGUUGACCCGAUGUCCUGAUUGACGGUUUUGUUUUUGUUGGCAACGAUGGACCGACCUGAUUGGUGGUUUUGAUCUAGAGGAAACGAUGGAUUGGCCCGAUUGACGGUUUCAAUUUGUGGGAAAUGAUGGAUUGACCCGAAUGACGGUUUUGAUUUUUCGCAUCGUGCGGUGCUUUCCUUGAAACCAAUUUUGGCUAUAGGUUGCAUUCUUGGCCAUUGUGCUAGGGACGUGGCUAUUAGUUGGGUGGUUUUAGGGAUUGUCGAUCGUAAAGGUGCAUGAGUUGUGUUUGGUUUGUUUCGUGUCGUUGGCUGUUGCUUGUGCAACAACGUCGACACGUGCAGACUUCUUCAUCUAUUGUGAAAGCAUGCUUUGCUUUCGCAUGUUGUGGGUUUCUUGCAUUGUGUUCCUAAAUUGUGGCAUUUUAUGGUUUGAACGAUGUGUUUUUGAUCAUGUUGCUCGUAUGGGUGACUAGUGGAAAAACAUGAAGCUAUCUCUUUGAUCCAUUUCGUCUUUGUCUUUGCAUUGACGUUGUGGCCUGUUGAGAAAGCUGGUCUCAUGGACGCAGAGCUUGACUCGGUGAUUUGGUUUUAUUGACCAUUUUGGUUGCCAUAACUAGAUGUUUUUGCCUCUCCUUCCUAUGACCGUCCAUUGUG
rnacentral:misc_RNA from 1 species